rnacentral:rRNA from 1 species
GGAAAGGCGCGCGAUACAGGGUGACAGCCCCGUACACAAAAAUGCACAUGCUGUGAGCUCGAUGAGUAGGGCGGGACACGUGGUAUCCUGUCUGAAUAUGGGGGGACCAUCCUCCAAGGCUAAAUACUCCUGACUGACCGAUAGUGAACCAGUACCGUGAGGGAAAGGCGAAAAGAACCCCGGCGAGGGGAGUGAAAAAGAACCUGAAACCGUGUACGUACAAGCAGUGGGAGCUCGCUUAGGCGUGUGACUGCGUACCUUUUGUAUAAUGGGUCAGCGACUUAUAUUCUGUAGCAAGGUUAACCGAAUAGGGGAGCCGAAGGGAAACCGAGUCUUAACUGGGCGUUAAGUUGCAGGGUAUAGACCCGAAACCCGGUGAUCUAGCCAUGGGCAGGUUGAAGGUUGGGUAACACUAACUGGAGGACCGAACCGACUAAUGUUGAAAAAUUAGCGGAUGACUUGUGGCUGGGGGUGAAAGGCCAAUCAAACCGGGAGAUAGCUGGUUCUCCCCGAAAGCUAUUUAGGUAGCGCCUCGUGAAUUCAUCUCCGGGGGUAGAGCACUGUUUCGGCAAGGGGGUCAUCCCGACUUACCAACCCGAUGCAAACUGCGAAUACCGGAGAAUGUUAUCACGGGAGACACACGGCGGGUGCUAACGUCCGUCGUGAAGAGGGAAACAACCCAGACCGCCAGCUAAGGUCCCAAAGUCAUGGUUAAGUGGGAAACGAUGUGGGAAGGCCCAGACAGCCAGGAUGUUGGCUUAGAAGCAGCCAUCAUUUAAAGAAAGCGUAAUAGCUCACUGGUCGAGUCGGCCUGCGCGGAAGAUGUAACGGGGCUAAACCAUGCACCGAAGCUGCGGCAGCGACGCUUAUGCGUUGUUGGGUAGGGGAGCGUUCUGUAAGCCUGUGAAGGUGUGCUGUGAGGCAUGCUGGAGGUAUCAGAAGUGCGAAUGCUGACAUAAGUAACGAUAAAGCGGGUGAAAAGCCCGCUCGCCGGAAGACCAAGGGUUCCUGUCCAACGUUAAUCGGGGCAGGGUGAGUCGACCCCUAAGGCGAGGCCGAAAGGCGUAGUCGAUGGGAAACAGGUUAAUAUUCCUGUACUUGGUGUUACUGCGAAGGGGGGACGGAGAAGGCUAUGUUGGCCGGGCGACGGUUGUCCCGGUUUAAGCGUGUAGGCUGGUUUUCCAGGCAAAUCCGGAAAAUCAAGGCUGAGGCGUGAUGACGAGGCACUACGGUGCUGAAGCAACAAAUGCCCUGCUUCCAGGAAAAGCCUCUAAGCAUCAGGUAACAUCAAAUCGUACCCCAAACCGACACAGGUGGUCAGGUAGAGAAUACCAAGGCGCUUGAGAGAACUCGGGUGAAGGAACUAGGCAAAAUGGUGCCGUAACUUCGGGAGAAGGCACGCUGAUAUGUAGGUGAAGUCCCUCGCGGAUGGAGCUGAAAUCAGUCGAAGAUACCAGCUGGCUGCAACUGUUUAUUAAAAACACAGCACUGUGCAAACACGAAAGUGGACGUAUACGGUGUGACGCCUGCCCGGUGCCGGAAGGUUAAUUGAUGGGGUCAGCGCAAGCGAAGCUCUUGAUCGAAGCCCCGGUAAACGGCGGCCGUAACUAUAACGGUCCUAAGGUAGCGAAAUUCCUUGUCGGGUAAGUUCCGACCUGCACGAAUGGCGUAAUGAUGGCCAGGCUGUCUCCACCCGAGACUCAGUGAAAUUGAACUCGCUGUGAAGAUGCAGUGUACCCGCGGCAAGACGGAAAGACCCCGUGAACCUUUACUAUAGCUUGACACUGAACAUUGAGCCUUGAUGUGUAGGAUAGGUGGGAGGCUUUGAAGUGUGGACGCCAGUCUGCAUGGAGCCGACCUUGAAAUACCACCCUUUAAUGUUU